GUGAGGAAUAUUGGACAAUGGGUGAGAGCCUGAUCCAGCCAUCCCGCGUGCAGGAAGACGGCCCUAUGGGUUGUAAACUGCUUUUCUACGAGAAUAAACCACCUUACGUGUAGGGUGUUGAAGGUACCGUAGGAAUAAGCACCGGCUAACUCCGUGCCAGCAGCCGCGGUAAUACGGAGGGUGCAAGCGUUAUCCGGAUUUAUUGGGUUUAAAGGGUCCGCAGGCGGACUUGUAAGUCAGAGGUGAAAGCCGGCAGCUCAACUGUCGAACUGCCUUUGAUACUGCAAGUCUUGAGUGAGGUUGAAGUAGCUAGAAUGAGUAGUGUAGCGGUGAAAUGCUUAGAUAUUACUCAGAAUACCGAUUGCGAAGGCAGGUUACUAAGUCUUAACUGACGCUGAGGGACGAAAGCGUGGGGAGCGAACAGGAUUAGAAACCCCGGUAGUCC
rnacentral:rRNA from 1 species